UACAGAGGUCCCGAGCGUUGUUCGGAUUUAUUGGGCGUAAAGGGUGCGUAGGUGGUAAAGUAAGUUGGAUGUGAAAUCCUGGGGCUCAACCUCAGAAUUGCAUUCAAUACUACUUAACUGGAGGUUUGGAGGGGGGACUGGAAUUCUUGGUGUAGCAGUGAAAUGCGUAGAUAUCAAGAGGAACACCAGUGGCGAAGGCGAGUCCCUGGACAACACCUGACACUGAGGCACGAAAGCUAGGGGAGCAAACAGG
rnacentral:rRNA from 1 species